AGAGGAUCAUACACCAGUAGGAAGGCGGGCUGGAAUCUCUCGGGGUUACAGCCUUGCUGAAUUAUUCACCCUUGUCUUUUGCGUACUUCUUGUUUCCUUGGUGGGUUCGCCCACCACUAGGACAAACAUAAACCUUUUGUAAUUGCAAUCAGCGUCAGUAACAAAUUAAUAAUUACAACUUUCAACAACGGAUCUCUUGGUUCUGGCAUCGAUGAAGAACGCAGCGAAAUGCGAUAAGUAGUGUGAAUUGCAGAAUUCAGUGAAUCAUCGAAUCUUUGAACGCACAUUGCGCCCUUUGGUAUUCCAAAGGGCAUGCCUGUUCGAGCGUCAUUUGUACCCUCAAGCUUUGCUUGGUGUUGGGCGUCUUGUCUCUAGCUUUGCUGGAGACUCGCCUUAAAGUAAUUGGCAGCCGGCCUACUGGUUUCGGAGCGCAGCACAAGUCGCACUCUCUAUCAGCAAAGGUCUAGCAUCCAUUAAGCCUUUUUUUCAACUUUUGACCUCGGAUCAGGUAGGGAUACCCGCUGAACUUAAGCAUAUCAAUAAGCGG
rnacentral:rRNA from 1 species